UACGUAGGGGCCUAGCGUUGUCCGGAUUUAUUGGGCGUAAAGAGCUCGUAGGCGGCGCGGUAAGUCGGGUGUGAAAUCUUGGAGCUUAACUCCGAAACUGCAUUCGAUACUGCCGUGCUUGAGGACUGGAGAGGAGACUGGAAUUUACGGUGUAGCGGUGAAAUGCGUAGAUAUCGUAAGGAAGACCAGUGGCGAAGGCGGGUCUCUGGACAGUUCCUGACGCUGAGGCACGAAGGCCAGGGGAGCAAACGGG
rnacentral:rRNA from 1 species